UGAGGAUACAGGGAGAAAAUGGCAGUCUAUGAACCAGGAAGCAAGUCUUCACCAGAACCCAGCUGUGCUAGCACCCUGAACUCAGGCUUUCAGCCUCCAGAACGAUCCUCAGAGCUUUAUAGCCUUUCAGUUGAGAAAUAUGAAACACUGAAAAUCAAAAACAAAUGCUGGAAAUCUUCGGGUUCACUCUGAUGCAGAUACACUAGCAAAGAUCAGGAGUUCUUCUACAGAUUGAAAACCUGCACAGUAGAGAAUACAACCUAAGGAGUAUUUUACAUGCCUUCCUUUGUAUCAGGGCAGACUCAUGAUUAGUGGACUUGGAAGUUCAUAAAAUUUGGAGGGUCCUCUUUAAGAAAGAGAGGAAAAGGUUAUAAAUACAAAAUUAGAUGCAAAGGGCAGAGUGCUACACCUAAAAGAUCGUGGAUCUCCUAAUAAUGAGGAAGAGGAACGGAGACUGAGUCCUGAAAAGAGAGAGGUGAUGAUGUUUGUAUAGGUUGUUGCCUUUGUUUGU
rnacentral:lncRNA from 1 species